CUGGCGGCCGUGACUGGGAGCUGUGGUUCCAGGACAAAGAAGCACCCGGAUUCUAAUUUAGAAGCAAAGAUGCAGAUGCUAAUGCCCGAACCUCAGAUUUUUGUG